GACCUAGUGGUGUAAUGGUAACACCCUAGCUGUGAAUAGAGUGCGGCUACACGACGUUACGUUGGAGUUCCCCGUUCGAUUCAGGGCCGGGUCG